rnacentral:misc_RNA from 1 species
UGGAUGUUGGUUGGAGAUGUUCCUUGGGAGAUGUUCAUCUCCUCAUGCAAGAGGUUGAGGAUUAUGAGAGGCCCUGAGGCAAGAGGGCUUGGUUCAAAUUAAUGUGGGUAACCAUCAAAGAAGUGCCAUGAUGGUGUAGAAAAUGUAACGUAAACAAUACAAUAUUUUUUGGUUUUGAUUUUUGAAUUUUUACUUUUGUGUGAAUGGUUGUGAAAGGGAGGAAAUUUAGGUUUUGGUCUUUCAAAGGGUUAUGCCCUAGUCCGGUUAUUGAGUUGAGUGUGUUGAAUG